rnacentral:rRNA from 1 species
GAUUCUGGCUCAGGAUGAACGCUAGCGACAGGCUUAACACAUGCAAGUCGAGGGGCAGCAUAAAAGUAGCAAUACUUUGGUGGCGACCGGCGCACGGGUGAGUAACGCGUAUGCAACCUACCUAUCAGAGGGGAAUAACCCGGCGAAAGUCGGACUAAUACCGCAUAAAACAGGGGCACCGCAUGGUGAUAUUUGUUAAAGAAAUUCGCUGAUAGAUGGGCAUGCGUUCCAUUAGGUAGUUGGUGAGGUAACGGCUCACCAAGCCGACGAUGGAUAGGGGAACUGAGAGGUUGGUCCCCCACACUGGUACUGAGACACGGACCAGACUCCUACGGGAGGCAGCAGUGAGGAAUAUUGGUCAAUGGGCGGGAGCCUGAACCAGCCAAGUCGCGUGAAGGAAAGAAGGAUCUAUGGUUCGUAAACUUCUUUUGCAGGGGAAUAAAGUGCAGGACGUGUCCUGUUUUGUAUGUACCCUGAGAAUAAGGAUCGGCUAACUCCGUGCCAGCAGCUGC